rnacentral:rRNA from 1 species
GACGAACGCUGGCGGCGUGCUUAACACAUGCAAGUCGAACGGAAAGGCCCUGCUUUUGUGGGGUGCUCGAGUGGCGAACGGGUGAGUAACACGUGAGUAACCUGCCCUUGACUUUGGGAUAACGUCAGGAAACUGGGGCUAAUACCGGAUAGGAGCUCCUGCUGCAUGGUGGGGGUUGGAAAGUUUCGGCGGUUGGGGAUGGACUCGCGGCUUAUCAGCUUGUUGGUGGGGUAGUGGCUUACCAAGGCUUUGACGGGUAGCCGGCCUGAGAGGGUGACCGGCCACAUUGGGACUGAGAUACGGCCCAGACUCCUACGGGGGGCAGCAGUGGGGAAUAUUGCACAAUGGGCGGAAGCCUGAUGCAGCAACGCCGCGUGCGGGAUGACGGCCUUCGGGUUGUAAACCGCUUUCGCCUGUGACGAAGCGUGAGUGACGGUAAUGUGUAAAGAAGCACCGGCUAACUACGUG